rnacentral:rRNA from 1 species
GGAUGAACGCUGGCGGCGUGCCUAAUACCUGCACGUCGAGCGAACAGACGAGGAGCUUGCUCCUCUGACGUUAGCGGCGGACGGGUGAGUAACACGUUGAUAACCUACCUAUAAUACUGGGAUAACUUCGGGAAACCGGAGCUAAUACCGGAUAAUAUAUUGAACCGCAUGGUUCAAUAGUUAAAGACGGUUUUGCUGUCACUUAUAGAUGGAUCCGCGCCGCAUUAGCUAGUUGGUAAGGUAACGGCUUACCAAGGCAACGAUGCGUAGCCGACCUGAGGGGGUGAUCGGCCACACUGGAACUGAGACACGGUCAAGACUACUACGGGAGGCAGCAGUAGGGAAUCUUCCGCAAUGGGCGAAAGCCUGACGGAGCAACGCCGAGUGAGUGAUGAAGGUCUUCGGAUCGUAAAACUCUGUUAUUAGGGAAGAACAAAUGUGUAAGUAACUAUGCACGUCUUGACGGUAACUAAUCAGAAAGCAACGGCUAACUACGUG